GUGACCUAGCUUGUCUGAGUUUCCAUAGGACAGGCAUUGCACAUGCUCAGUAGCUCACGUCUUUUUCUGAAGCGGACCGGACCGUUAGCGCAACCAGUUGAGCUCAGAGAGUACGAGGAUUUCAGAAACAUUGGAACAAAUAUCUGACAUUGGUGAUCUCGGGGGAUACUUGCUAGAACUGGUCCAGUGACACUGAGAACCUGACCACCGGUCAUCACAGCCACCAAGCAGAAAACGUUAAACCUACCUAGGAGGCAUUAAACCACUAUUGUUCCAAUUUUCCCAAAGUGUUCAGUCAUUUUGUGCCAGUGACAAUUCAUGAUGAGUUUUUGCACAUGCUUAGGCCAUGGCUGGCUACUUCAUUUUAAUAAAGAAAAAG